GACGAACGCUGGCGGCGCGCCUAACACAUGCAAGUCGAGCGGAGAUACUUGAAGGAAGUUUUCGGAUGGAAUUUGAGUAUUUUAGCGGCGGACGGGUGAGUAACGCGUGAGUGACCUGCCUUCCACAGGGGGAUAACGUACCGAAAGGUACACUAAUACCGCAUGAGACCACAGCACUGCCUGGUGCAGGGGUCAAAGGAGCAAUCCGGUGGAAGAUGGACUCGCGUCCGAUUAGAUAGUUGGUGGGGUAACGGCCUACCAAGUCAGCGAUCGGUAGCCGACCGUAGAGGGUGAUCGGCCACAUUGGAGCUGGGAGACGGUCCAAACUCCUACGGGGGGCAGCAGUGGGGAAUAUUGGGCAAUGGGGGAAACCCUGACCCAGCGACGCCGCGUGAGGGAAGAAGGUUUUCGGAUUGUAAACCUCUGUUCUUGGUGAAGAGGGAAAGACGGUAGCCAAGGAGGAAGCCCCGGCUAACUACGUGCCAGCCGCCGCAGUAA
rnacentral:rRNA from 1 species